ACUCAUAGCUAAAUCUUAAAGCUUUGGAGAAAAAAAAAAACAACUCUAUAUUUGACUUUGAUUUUCUACAUCAAAUCCAAAGAAAGACUGUGAAACCAGUGACAAGCCAAAAUGAGAUUCUUUCUUCCCACUGUGAUCUUCUGCUGUGUUUUCACCACUAUGGUCCCACUUGUGAGAGGUGACCAAAGCCCCCUGAUAAAAAAGCUUAGAGAAUCGCUUCAGAAACACAUGAGCAAAUACCACAGCACACAGCUCAGUGCAGCUAGUGCGCAGACAUCUGUGGGGUCAUCGCAGAAGGAUGGAGAAACAUCUUUAACAUCAGCAAGCUUUCAGAGAAACAUAAGAUCCUCAUCAUCACCUGGCUGCAGAUUGAUCACCUGUAUAAUUCAUGAUAUUGUUAAAUAUAUACCUAAGAUCAGAUCUCAACGGCCCUGUGCUCCAAAGGAUAAGUUGAAAGACACUGGUUAUGGACGGCGUCGUCGAAUGGCAGACGACCAUCAGCUCACCCUACAGACUGAGGGACCAAGGACAAGCACUGAAGCUACUCGGCAAGACGGCAGCAACCAAAACCUAUGCUUCAACGCAGUAGAAACUACUCCUGAUAGCUCAGAGUAAUAUGUGUUGGGAUUUGACAUGAAUGAUCCUCUUUUAAUGGAAAAGCAGCUGAACUUUGAAGACAUGAAUUGAGGAAAAACUAGCGAAGCAGCUGGAGCUCUGGAAGCUCACAUAAAUAAACCCAGAACCACUACUCGCAGUAAAGGGACGGCUUUCUGUGCAACGUACACCACUCGUACCGAACCUUUAUCUGUUAUUUACACCUAUUUAACUGCUAACGUGUAUAUAUGAAUGUAGAUAUUAUAUUUAAACAAACAUUAUGAUUUUGUAAACGUGCUGAAAAUAAAUAUUUCAUUUUAACUUGAAUUAUUCUGUUUGUUAAGUAUGUUACCUGAUUAGAUAAUUUUCUUUUCUCUCACUAGUAGAAAAAUUGGUAAAACAAUAAUGUGAUGUAUAUGCUGUAUCUGGGCUCAUUUAUGUCGGAUUUGUGUGACAGAUGUGUGCUGGAAAGGUUAAAAUGAACUAAUUAGGUGCUG